rnacentral:rRNA from 1 species
CCUACGGGGGGCAGCAGUGAGGAAUAUUGGUCAAUGGGCGAAAGUCUGAACCAGCCAAGUCGCGUGAGGGAUGACGGACCUAUGGUUUGUAACCUUCUUUUAUAGGGGAGUAAAGUUAUUGACGUGUUCAGAUUUGUAUGUACCAUAUGAAUAAGGAUCGGCUAACUCCGUGCCAGCAGCAGCGGUAAUACGGAGGGUCCGAGCGUUAUCCGGAUUUAUUGGGUUUAAAGGGAGCGUAGGUGGUAUGUUAAGUCAGUUGUGAAAGUUUGUGGCUCAACCGUAAAAUUGCAGUUGAAACUGGAAGACUUGAGUGUGUGAGAGGUAGGCGGAAUUCGUGGUGUAGCGGUGAAAUGCGUAGAUAUCACGAAGAACUCCGAUUGCGAAGGCAGCUAACUGGACCAUAACUGACGCUGAGGCUCGAAAGCGUGGGUAUCAAACAGGAUUAGAUACCCCAGUAGUC